AGCAGCCGCGGUAAUUCCAGCUCCAAUAGCGUAUAUUAAAGUUGUUGCAGUUAAAAGCUCGUAGUUGAAUUUCGGGAUUGACGUGAUGGUCGUGCCUUAAGGGGUAUGAACUGUUGCUGUUGAUUUCUCACCUUCUGGAGAAACUUGAUGUCCUUAAUUGGGUGUCUUGCGGAUCCAGGACCUUUACCUUGAAAAAAUUAGAGUGUUUAAAGCAGGCAUUUUUGCUCGAAUACAUUAGCAUGGAAUAAUAGAAUAGGACGGCAUGGUUCUAUUUUGUUGGUUUCUAGGAUCACCGUAAUGAUUAAUAGGGAUAGUUGGGGGCAUUAGUAUUCAAUUGUCAGAGGUGAAAUUCUUGGAUUUAUUGAAGACUAACUACUGCGAAAGCAUUUGCCAAGGAUGUUUUCAUUAAUCAAGAACGAAAGUUAGGGGAUCGAAGACGAUCAGAUACCGUCGUAGUCUUAACCAUAAACUAUGCCGACUAGGAAUCAGACGAUGUUAAUUUUUUAAUGACUCGUUUGGC
rnacentral:misc_RNA from 1 species